rnacentral:rRNA from 1 species
GGGGGGGGGGGGGGGGGGGGGGGCGCGUGGGCGGCGGGGGGGGGCGCAGGAGGGGGUGGCUGGUACGGGGGGCGGGUGGGGGAGGGGUGAGGAAGACGGCGGACUCUACUGUUUCGUGGGGGGUAGCGGAGGGAGACGUACGCUAAUACCGCAUACGCCCUGCGGGUGCAAGCAGUGGAUCUUCGGCCCAUGCCCGCAUGCAAGAACCGAUGUGGGAUUAGCUAGUUGGCGGGGUAACGGCCCACCAAGGCGACCACCCGUGGCCGGUCUGAGGGGAUGAUCAGCCACACUGGAACGGAGAAACGGUCCAGACUCCUACGGGAGGCAGCAGUGGGGAAUAUUGGACAAUGGGCGCAAGCCUGAUCCAGCCAUACCGCGUGGGUGAAGAAGGCCUUCGGGUUGUAAAGCCCUUUUGUUGGGAAAGAAAAGCAGCAGGUUAAUACCCCGCUGUUCUGACGGUACCCAAAGAAUAAGCACCGGCUAACUUCGUG